GAUGAACGCUGGCGGCGUGCCUAAUACAUGCCAGUCGAGCGAACGGACGAGAAGCUUGCUUCUCUGAUGUUAGCGGCGGACGGGUGAGUAACACAUGGAUAACCUACCUAUAAGACUGGGAUAACUUCGGGAAACCGGAGCUAAUACCGGAUAAUAUUUUGAACCGCAUGGUUCAAAAGUGAAAGACGGUCUUGCUGUCACUUAUAGAUGGAUCCGCGCUGCAUUAGCUAGUUGGUAAGGUAACGGCUUACCAAGGCAACGAUGCAUAGCCGACCUGAGAGGGCGACCGGCCACACUGGAACUGAGACACGGUCCAGACUCCUACGGGAGGCAGCAGUAGGGAAUUUUCCGCAAUGGGCGAAAGCCUGACGGAGCAAUGCCGCGUGAGUGAUGAAGGUCUUCGGAUCGUAAAACUCUGUUAUUCGGGAAGAACAUAUGUGUAAGUAACUGCGCACAUCUUGACGGUACCUAAUCAGAAAGCCCCGGCUAACUACGUG
rnacentral:rRNA from 1 species